AUACGGAAGGUCCGGGCGUUAUCCGGAUUUAUUGGGUUUAAAGGGAGCGCAGGCGGAGAUGCAAGCGUGACGUCAAAUUUCGGGGCUCAACCCCGUCUCGCGUCGCGAACUGCGUCCCUUGGUUGCGGGAAGGGGAGGCGGAACUCGUGGUGUAGCGGUGAAAUGCAUAGAUAUCACGAAGAACUCCGAUCGCGAAGGCAGCCUUCCGGCCCGUCAACGACGCUCAUGCUCGAAGGUGCGGGUAUCAAACAGGAUUAGAUACCCUGGUGGUCCGCACAGUAAACGAUGGACACCCGCGGUUUGGCCUGUAUGGCUGAGCCGCCAAGCGAAAGCGUUAAGUGUCCCACCUGGGGAGUACGCCGGCAACGGUGAAACUCAAAUGAAUUGACGGGG
rnacentral:rRNA from 1 species